UGCUACUUGGAUAAUUUUUACUAGUUCUUGAAAGUCAUAUCCACAGCCUAUAUUGCGGUCCACGAUUUCUUCCAAUCGCCCUUCUUGCAUCAACAGUUUCACCUUCAGAUUAAUCAAGCAACCUCAUAUGAGUCAACUAUGUGAGCGUGCAAGCCAAAAUUUUACUGGAAAGUGCAAGGGCAUUGUUCAUACGGGAUGUCUAAACAUCUUCCAUUCUAAGCACCUAACUUCUGCCCAUAUUAAUUAUUAAGGCAGGUUUCAUGGAUUUGUCAGCAUGAAAAGGUCAACUUACAUAUUGUUCAACGAUGAAAGAUUUGACAAAGAGUUUGGAAUGUUACCAAUCAACAGAUUUUCGCUUAGAUCCCUGUCCAAGUUAUCACAUUGUUAGAGUUGUGGUUCAGUCAUGAUAACAUGAGUAAUGGGCUGACUUACAGAUUUUGGAGUUCUGAUAGAAGGCCAAAAGAUUCAGGGGCUCACUUGGUUAUUGUUCCAGUCUUUCAAGACACCGCGGCUGUCAGUGAGCAUCAUCCUCAUUUCAUACAGUGCUAUGACUGAGAUUAAAAAAAUGUCAUUUUGUUUGUAGUAUUACGAGGUAGACACUAAAUGCAAGAGAAUGGAAAAUGGCCAAUCCUUCUGAGUUGACACCUGUUAAGUGUUCCACUCGCAAUCUGGAUAGCUUAACUGAUGCAGAGCAAACCAAAG